rnacentral:lncRNA from 1 species
CAGAGACAUAUAAAGCAAUAACAAAGAAAUAAAGAAACAAUUUAAAAGAAGAUAUAGCAAGUAAUGCAAUGAAAAAUGCUAGAUGGUUGCUAAGUACAAGUGCAAUUGACACUUAGAGCUAAUUGACACACUCCUACACUAUGCUCUAUUCCAAUGUUUGGCUUUCAAUAGGAUUGCCUUUGGAGCAUUUUCCUCAUCAAAGUAAUCUAUAUAAAAGGUUAGAAGAACCAAAAUGAACUUGAAAUUUAUGUGAUACAAACAAUUACACUUGCAACAUUUUUACAAUUAUUACUCAAAAUCACAUUUGGUCUUGAUUUGUACCUUUCCUUUUCUUCAUUUUAUGCUUCGUCAAGACAACUCAAUUGAUGUUAUGGUUUUAGAUUUUGUUGGUAUUUUUUCUCCUUUGGCAGCACUUGUAGAGUGUUCUCAAUCCUUAGAAGGUGACCAAAGUUCUCACCUAACCUUUUCAUUGCAGCUAAUCUCCUCCAUUCCUCAUAAUCCAACCACAAUUUCCCUUGCAUAUUACCUUCCCUUCGCUGCUUCAAGUCACACAAAUCAGCCUAGCACCAAAGAGCAGUCAAUAAAGCCAAGGAGAUCUCCAUCAAUUGGUAUCUUUUAAUGUUUUUCACUGUUUAAUUUCAUGUCUUGAUGUUUUUCCACUGUUUAUAUUCGUUGUUUUUACAUUUUAAUCGGUGCAAAUGUUGCAAAUCUUCAUUAAACUUCAAAAUCGAGUCAAAUAGGUGUUGUUCUUGGCUAUUGUGUUUUAUUCUUAUUGUUUUGAGUCUUUCUUCAAGUUUUAAUUGGUGCAUUUUGAUGUUUACACAUUGUUUUUUAGUUUUUAAUCGGUUCAUGUUAAGUAUAAAGUCAUUUUACUCCUUAAUUGUCUUCAAUUCUAGAAUUUAACCUAGUUUACUAAGUGUUUGUAAAAAUGCCUAGCUAAAUUGUAAUCCACAUGUUUGAUAAAAUGCUUUAAUAAAAAUUGUGUGGUGUAACUUAUGAAAACCGUGUUGUGUAACUUGUCGUGUGUCUUUUAACUUGUAUUUAUGAGUUUAUGAUUUACUAGUAGAUCAAUAGUAAAUCUCAUAAUACAUAUCAUUCCAUUGUGUCUUGAAGUUUGUAUCAUUUCAUUUGGAUUCCUAGGCUUCAACGUUACUGCUAAUGCUUGAUAUAAUUGCACUAGAUUGAUUAAUUUAUUGAGAGUUUAAUUCGCAUCCAAAUUUUAUGAAAUUUGAUAUUUGAUCACUUCAUCAUGUUUAAAAUAUGUGGUAAAAAGGUGCAUCUAGAUUCAAAGUAAAAAAAAAAGUAAUAAAUCACAAAAGCCUAAAUGUCAGUGUUGAAAAUGGGUGAAUCAAGCUUCAUGACUGCUCUCGGAAGAUGAAUUAAUUCUAAUUGGCACAGUGAGUGUUAAUAAUUAGUGGUAAAAUUUUUGAGAGAAUAAUUCGAUCUAGAAAAAUUUAGGUAAAUUAUGGAAUCAACAUUGUCAGAACCAUCCAAUAGAGAGUCUUUUUGGUUUCGAGGAUCUACUCUAUUUCUAUUUGCAUUUGUAUGCCAACUAUUUUUUAUUGUGCCUUAAUUUCUUGAUUGUCUACUUGUUCUAAGUUCUUUGAGUAUGUAUGUCAUGACAAUUCCAUUUGAGUUUAACAACUAUAAAUUGAGCUUUCUUUACUUUGAUUCUUGGAUUCUUGUAAGUGGGAUUGGUACCUUGUAUUGAAGAGGUAUGAUGAGAACUUUGGUCACCUUCUAAGGAUUGAGAACACUCUACAAGUGUUGCCAAAAGGGAAAAGAUACCAAGAGAAACAAAAACCAUAACAACAUAGAGUUGUCUUGAAGAAGAUAAAAUGAAGAAAAGCAAAGACACAAAUCAAGGCCAAAUGUGAUUUUGAGUACUAGUUGUAAAAAUGUUACAAGUAUAAUUGUUUGUACCAUGGAACCUUUGAGUUCAUUUUUGUUUCUUCUAGCAUUGUAUAUAGCUUACUUUCAUGAGUAAAAUGCUCCAAGGAAAUCCUCUUGAAAGCCAAACAUUGUAAUGGAACGUACAGUGUAGGAGUGUGUCAAUGAGUGUGUCAAUUGGUUCUAAGUGU